rnacentral:rRNA from 1 species
GAGGUAGAUAGGCUGGGGGUGGAAGUGCAGCAAUGCAUGGAGCUGACCAGUACUAAUCGGUCGAGGGCUUAUCCAAUA